GACGAACGCUGGCGGCGUGCCUAAUACAUGCAAGUAGAACGCUGAAGACUUUAGCUUGCUAAAGUCGGAAGAGUUGCGAACGGGUGAGUAACGCGUAGGUAACCUGCCUACUAGCGGGGGAUAACUAUUGGAAACGAUAGCUAAUACCGCAUAACAGCAUUUAACCCAUGUUAGAUGCUUGAAAGGAGCAAUUGCUUUCACUAGUAGAUGGACCUGCGUUGUAUUAGCUAGUUGGUGAGGUAACGGCCACCAAGGCGACGAUACAUAGCCGACCUGAGAGGGUGAUCGGCCACACUGGGACUGAGACACGGCCCAG
rnacentral:rRNA from 1 species